AGCGAACGCUGGCGGCAGGCCUAACACAUGCAAGUCGAACGAACUCUUCGGAGUUAGUGGCGGACGGGUGUGUAACACGUGGGAACGUGCCUUUAGGUUCGGAAUAACUCAGGGAAACUUGUGCUAAUACCGAAUGUGCCCUUCGGGGGAAAGAUUUAUCGCCUUUAGAGCGGCCCGCGUCUGAUUAGCUAGUUGGUGAGGUAAAGGCUCACCAAGGCGACGAUCAGUAGCUGGUCUGAGAGGAUGAUCAGCCACAUUGGGACUGAGACACGGCCCAAACUCCUACGGGAGGCAGCAGUGGGGAAUCGUGCGCAAUGGGCGAAAGCCUGACGCAGCCAUGCCGCGUGAAUGAUGAAGGUCUUAGGAUUGUAAAAUUCUUUCACCGGGGACGAUAAUGACGGUACCCGGAGAAGAAGCCCCGGCUAACUUCGUG
rnacentral:rRNA from 1 species